rnacentral:lncRNA from 9 species
UUUUUUUUUUUGCUUUUUUUUUCUUUUUAAAUUUUUUUUUUUUUACUGUAAACCAGCUACAAUGGGAAAAAAAUACUUUUUUGAAAUAUGUUCCUCUGUCACCUUAUUUUGCCUAAUAUGCUGUUUUUAUUUCUAUGUAUCUGGUGAGUUGGUUAUACUUCCUGAUCUUGGAGCAGUGGUCUUUGCAUCCCAGGAGUGCACUCCUUCUAAUCACCAGACCUAUAUGCUCUUGGAGUUCUCCCUAUGUGGCUGGGAUGGGUCAUUCUGUGUCACAGGAUGACUACUGUAGGCAGUCUGGUAGGUGCAGCUGGCCCUCAGUUUAGCUGGUUGCUGGUCCCUGCCUUGCGUGGAGGCUACUGGCCUCUGCUUGCCAGGGCCAGGUCAAAAGGCAGCUAACCAUGGAAACCCAGGGAAUCCCAAGGCUAGUGCUGCCCCACAGGCAGGCAGAGCCAUGUCCUGAGGUCUAGCUGCAGGACCCAGAGAUCCUAGAGCUGGUGUUGGACUGCUGGUGGGUGGGGCUGGUUCCUGAGAUAGCUGGCUAUAGGGUCUGGGAUGUCCCAAAGCUUGUGCUGGCCUGCUGGUGGAUGAGGCUAGGUGAGCCCAAUGUGGGGACUCAGAGUCUUCACUCCCUGGAGAGAACCUCUAUAAUUGUAAUUAUUCUGUUUGUGGGUCUUGACUAUACCAUGACUCUGCCCCUCCUACCCAAUUCAUCAUGGUUCCUUCUCUAUAGUUUUAGUUGUAGAUGAUCUUUUCUGGUUGUUUCCAGUCUUUUUCAUCAACAGUUGCUCUGUAAAUAGUUGUAAUUUUGGUGUGCUAUGGGAGGAGAUGAGCUCGGGGUCUUUCUAAUCCACUCUCUUGGGAAAUCCCUUGAACUCAUUUUUAAAAAACACAAAAAUAUAUAUGAAUAAACAGAUAUCUUCUUGCUUCAUUAUUUAGAAACAGCUUUGAUUUACUUAAAAGGAUUUACCUAGGAAAAGGAAUCAUUGUUUCCACAUGUUCUCUCAGAAGACAAUUAGGUGCUAAAGAAAAUUCGCUGACAGGAGAAAUAACAUUAUGGCAUGAGUGUAAUGUAAUGCUGGAUGACAAAAUCUUUCUCAUCCCAAUCUCGCAUGUGUAGGCAGUGCUUAUUCAUGUGUGAGCUGAGGACCUGACUGCAUAUGGCAGAGGCAAAGUCAGGAGUAAGCAGAUGCACUCAUUAGUGCCCAGUCCCUCAUGGAGGCAAGUGCUCCAGGGUAGGUACUCAGCUGGUGGACAGUACUCAUUCAAAGUUUUUUCUUUACCCCAGAUGACCUGGAUGAGCCACUUGCUCUGGAGCAUACACUGCAGAAUUACCCUAAUUUUGUCUGUCACUCUUCAUAAGCAUUCCACCAUGGUUAUUACUUUAUGGUACUAUGCCUUAUGUGUGUGAAUUAGGAGUUAGAUGGGAAAAACACUUCUGCAGUCUGUACAAAAUUAGUUUGCUAAAAAGUGGACCAAACAAGUGUAUUCUGUUACACUAUCUCCCCAAGAGAGGGAUAUUUUAUGUUUCACAAAUUUAUUUAACCGCUAUAUCAUUAGUGCUCAGAAGAAGCCAACUGGGAGAUAUUACUUUGGACAUGAGGCAAUCCAGAGAAUAUUAGGUCAUAUGAGACAGAGCUAAGAAUGUGGCAGUAGCAACGGAGAGUGUACUUUCAAAUUGACAAAUAAACUUAGAAUAAGACUGUGCUCUCCCUAUUAUAAAUUCUAUCACAUUUAAUCCUCAUAUCAACCUUAUUAUGGAUUUACUAUUAUUUCCUCCACUUCAUAUAUGAAGAAACUGAGGCAGAGAAAAAUUCAGCGGCUUGACCAAUAUUAUAGAAUUAGUAAGGGUCAAAGCCAGAAAGCAAACACAGACUGUCUGGAAGCCACAGGUCAUGCUUUAUAAACCAUGUUUCAGUGCCUCUCAGCACUAUAAAAGAAAGGGGGAGACACUUCAGACCCAGGCUUCUCAAAGUGUGAUCCAUGAAUCCGCAGCAUCAGCAUCAACCAGGAGCCUAUUUGGGAUGUAGAGGCUCAGGCCCCAUCCCAGACCUACUAGAUUAGAAUCAGCACUUUGACAAGAUCUUCAAGUGAUUUAUUAAAAUUUAAUAAGUAUUGCUCUAAAUAAGAAAGCCUUAAGUUUUCCUUAUUUUGCUUUUGUUCUAAUCCCAGACUUCUUUAAGAAUCUGAUGAAAGUCAUGGACCUUGAGCAUAAAAAUGUACAUAGGAUUUCAAAGAAUUUGUGAACUCAUGUUUGCAAAACCCUACUGUAGAAGAUGUGAAGGUGGUGGGAACCUGUCCUUUAUACCUUCCAUGCAUUAUUGCAUUUAAUCCUUAUAAAUUCACUAUUGAUAAAAUGGAAACUUGAAGUUAAAUAACUUGCCUUAGUCAAAGGAAAUAAUGACAUCAGGAUCAAAUCUGGACAUUUUGCUUCCAGAGUCUAGAUAUCAAACCAAGUCCCUAGGCAUGACUCAGCCACAGUAAUUCUGAGGCACAUAGCAAUAAAAUUUAUCUCUGACAAUAUCAUAUUCUCCAUCUAAAGCACAUUUCUGGAUGAAGCUCCGAUGGGAUGAAGAGGAAGAGAGAGAAGGUGGUCAGAUGGAUCCUAGUAAUCCAUGUCAUGGUCCACCAUGUGCCAACCAGAUCCCCCUCACAUAUCUUCCUGACACACUUUAAACUGCACAGCCUCAAGUGGUAUGCCAAUCCAUGACUUUCACUCACCAGGCUCUCCUACUCUAAACCAUGAUUGAUGAACAGAUUUCAUUUCAUGGGUCAGCUGAUUGGCUGGUAGUAGCUGCUUGGUGUUCAACAUUGAAAAAGUCAACUGAGGACUGUGAUUGAUUAGUAAUGUCUGCCCCCACCAAGCAGCAAAGGAUAACAUAGUAGGAGGAAUACACAGCAGCAUUUAUUUGCCACUUGUACAGUGAAUCACUGUUUGGAUUUUCAUUCCUUUAUUUAACAUGCCUGCCCUAAGUGUGAAUUCUGUACACAGCAGCAGAAGCACUCUCCACCAUCCUAAUGCAAUAAUGAAAUUAAAAUGUCUGACAGAAUGGAGAAUUAUUAAAUAUACAUAUAUUGAACAUUUCAUCUUCAAUUAAAACACUUAAAUAUAUAUAUGUACUAACCGACUUUGGAUAUAGGACUUUUUGCUUCUGGGUCUAUUCUUUUAGAGCUUCCCAUGGACUGCUUUCACACUGCACUCAAAUGCACUACUUUUUCAAGAGCCUUUCAAAGCAACCUGGGAAAUUUUUGACACUUUUUUUUCACUAAUUACAAUUGGCUUCUUUGUACCUAAUCUAAAAGCAAAAAAUUCAUGGAAAAUUUAUCUUUAUACUCUUUCCAAAGAUUUGACUUAGUUUUCAUAAAAACACAUUUUCUUUCUCCUUAUCAGUUAGCAAACCAUAUAACAUUAAAUUAAACUAUGUAAUUACUAUAACAAAUGCAACUGGUGCAGAGAAAUUUGGGGAAAAAAACCCCAACUGAUUAUAGGAUGGGGUCCUAUUCAACAAGCUACAGAGGGCAUGAGUCAGCAUGUUUUACAAAGAACAAGAGAACAUCAGUUACUUUGAUGAGCUGAACCACUGAUGGCUAGUUAGAAGUUUCUGUUAUGCUACCUUGAGCUUUCCAUAGUAGAAUUCAACUAAAUAGGUCUAUUAACCAGAGUUUCCAACAAAUGAUGUCCAUAAUGAUAGCUGUAAGGUAUUCAAAACUCCUGAUGUGAGUUAUAAAAUGAAAAGGCACAAAAGGAUGUUCAGAGAAUCAUUUUUGAUAUCUCCGUCAAUUUAAAUCAGAGUGUUUUGCCUCUGUUCUCUUCUAGGAGUUAUAUGGUGUUAUGUACUAUGUUUAAGUCUUUAAGCCAUUUUGAGUUUAUUUUUGUGCACGAUGUGAGGGUGUGUUCUAGUUUCAUUGAUUCACAUGCAGUUGUCCAGUUUCCCCAGCACCACUUGCUGAAGAGAACUGUCUUUUCCCCAUUGUAUAUUCUUGCCUCUUUUGUUGAUGAUUAAUUGACCAUAGAUGUCUGGAUUUAUUUCUGGGUUCUCUAUUCUGUUCUGUUGAACUGUAUGUCUGUUUUUUUUGGGGGGGGGGUUGAGGUUUGUUGUUUGUUUUUGUUUUUGUUUUUGCCAACACAAUGCUGUUUGACUACUGUAGAUGUGUAGUAUUGCCUGAGGUCUGGGAGGAUUAUGCCUCCUGCUUUUUCCUCAGGAUUGGUUUGGAAAUUCUGGGUCUUUUAGGGUUCUAUAUAAAUUUUAGGAUCAUUUGUUCUAAACGAUCAUUUGUUUGAUCUGUGAAUGUCAUGGGUAAUUUGAUAGAGAUCACGUUAAAACUGGAGUUUGCUUUGGGUGGUAUAUCCAUUUUAACAAUAUUAAUUCUUCCAAUCAAAUAGCAUGGGAUACCAUUCCAUUCACCUGAAUAAGUUUCAAUUUCUCUUAUUAAUUUUUUAUAGUUCUCAGCAUAUAAGUCUUUCACCUCCUUGGUGAGGUUUAUUCCUAAGGUUUUUAAUGUUAUUUUUAAAAGAGAUUAUUUACAUUCCCUUUCUGAUAUUUUAUUAUUAAUGUAAAGAAACUCAAUCAAUUUCUGUACAUUAAUCUUGUAUCCUGCUCCCUUGCUGAAUUCAAGGAAGGAACACUUCCAAAGACAUUUUAUGAAGCCACCAUCACCCUGAUACCAAAACCAGAUAAAGACACUAUCAAAAAAGAAAAUUACAGGCCAAUAUCUUUGAUGACUACAGAUGUAAAAAUUCUCAACAAAAUGUUAUCAAACUAAAUGAAACAACACAUUAAGAAAGAUCAUACAUUAUGACAAGUUGGAUUCAUCCCAGGGUGACAAAGAUGGUUCAACAUACACAAAUCAAUCAGCAAAAGAAGACAAAAACCAUAUGAUCGUUUCAACAGAUGCAGAAAAAGCAUCUGAUAAAAUUCAACAUCCAUUCAUGAUUUAAAAAAAACCCUUACAAAAGUGGGUAUAGAGGGAGGAAACUAUCUCAACAUAAUAAAAGCUAUUUAGGAUAAAGCCACAGCCAAUAUAAUACUCAACAGUGAAAAACUGAAAGCCUUUCUGAUAAAAUAUGGAACAGGACAAGGAUGACUGCUGCCAUCAUUUCUAUUCAACCUACUAUCAAAAGUCCUAGCCACAGUAAUCGGACAGGAAAAAGAAAUAAAAAGUAUUCAAAUCAGUAGGGAAGAGGUAAAAUUAUAAUUAUAUGAAGAUGACAUGAUAGCAUGUAAAGAAAACUCUAAAGACUCCACACAAAAACUACUAGAACUGAUAAAUGAAUUCAACAAGGUAGCAGGAUACAAGAUUAACAUACAGAUACCAUUUGCUUUUUCAUUCUCUAUCUCUAUUUCUAUCCAUACACUACCUAGGACAUUAGUCUAUGGUGCCAUCUCAAGCUUAUACGGAUGUUUCCGCAAUGAGCAGGAUUCCACUCUACAAAGUACAUAUCGUACACACUCAACUCUGUAGUUGUAGUUUUUAGAAGUCUCAGUCAAGCCCAUCUUAUCAAUUUUGCCGUUCAACUGCACCUGAGAGUACUGGAUGCACUGGGCAAGCAGCAAAAUGUAGCUAACUCACUGCCCAAAAUGGUUUGCUUCCACUUUACUUUUCCCACUCUUCAAGGAAGAUAAUUCUUACUACAAGGGUGCAAUAAAGUCCCCUUUCUUCAUUUGCUACAGUGUAUCAGACUCAUAUAGAAAUACAAUUCACAUGGAAUAAGCCCUGACUUUGUUAAGGGACAGGCCUGCCCUAAAAGAUUUCAUACAUACUAAGUGAGAUGGGAUACACAACACUGAUUAAGAUGUAAAGUGAAGGGCUGAAGAGAUUUUAGAGGAAGGUCUACAGCUUUCUUCCUUCUGCUAAGUGAACGCUUGGACAGGCCCCAACACACAAGGCCCAGUCCUUCUCUGAGGCUGGCCUAAGCACUCCACUUAGUUUUAUCUUUAUGAGAAAGACACUGGAUUGCUUUGCUCUCUCUUUGGGGAUACUGAAGUCCUAGAGCCCAUGGAGUUCAUCAAACAUCUUCAACCACAAUCCCUUAGGCUAGGUUUAAUCAAUUCCUUCCUCUAUGCUUCUCAUCUCUAACACCUGUUUCUCUCAGAUCCCAACUGCCUGCCUCAUUGAUGAAAAGACCUCCCCAGGACCAGUUGAGAUAAUUUUGGCUUCUCCUGCUGGGCUACAGCCAUGGUUACCACCAAUAACUCUAACCACUUAGCAACCACUGACACCCUCUUGCACAAUGGCUCACAUUCCCAGACUUGUAGCAUAAUGGAUGCAGAAAUCAGUCAUCCCCCAAUCAACCUAGCACUA